ensembl:lncRNA
GAAUUUUAAGGAUGAAGGAAUCAACGCAAUGACAUUUACUGGCAUCCGUACAAAGAUUACACAUGCUUUUCCCAUAAUAGUGAGUAACAGUGAGUGAUGUGCUAGAGAUUUAAGGAGGUUUUAUUCUGGACACUGUAUCAUUACGAAGCAUUCCCCGCAGACAUUAGGGAGGAGAGUGAUUAGAUAGGGGAAAGACUGGUGUGUGAAUCAGCUAACGGUUCCUUUUGGAGGCUCUCUGGGCUCUUUGUUCUCUUAAGCUUUGCUUUAGUGUGUUGGUAUGAAUUGGGGGAUAUGCAUCUGAGGGAUCCCCAGAGCCAAAUCCAAACAUCUGUCUGUUUCACCUCUGCAUCGCUUGAAAUGUGUUGGAAUGUGGAAUCUGAUCAAACUUGCUGUGAGUGUGGAAGAGACAGAAAGUUCAUACAUGGUAAGAACUUGCCCCAGAGCAAAGGCCAAACUCUCCUCUUUCUCUCGAGCAGCUGUUUAACAGAAGCACAUUGCAUAGUGCGCAAGAACCUGCAGUAAAACAAGCACAAAACCAUCCCAUGAUCAUCUGAAUUCAGAAAGCAGUUUAGGAAGUAUACAAUGUCUUUAGGGAGGUCUUAAAGGAGUUUCCAAAGGUAAUUUUUUGAUUGUAUUCAAGAUCUCAAACACACCUAAAUCACACCCAUAGCACGUGUGAAGUAUCAAAAGACUUUUAUUAUUUAUUAAAAUGAUGAAUGAUGACAGUCAUUGUUUUGAAUAUUCACUAGAUUAGAACAACAUACCAUUUGUGGUGAAAAUAUGUGCUUUGAUUAACUUUUGUGGUUACUAAAAUAUUUAUUUGAGAUUCUUUGAAACAUUCCUAAUGCAAUAUGUAGAACAGUAUUUUUGAACUGUUUAUGUGCAGCUUCAGUUUUGGAGUAGGCCUGAAAAAAUUCCUAGUAUUUGUAAUCCAUAGCGAACAUGUUUUGAUUGGUUCACCUUCAAAAAGACUAGGGUGUGAGGUGGUUUAAAUGGUAUUCAGGGCACUGAAUACCAUUUCUGAAUGGAAGGUGUUCUGAAUGGUUUGUAUGGUGUUGCUACGGUGUGAGAUGGUUGGUAAGGUGUUCUGAAUAGCAUGUGGGGUGGUUGUUGUAGUGUUCAGAAUGGUUUGUGGGGUGUUGCUAGGGUUUGAGGUGGUUGGUAAGGUGCUCUGAAUAGUUUGUAGGGUGUUGCUAGGGUGCUCUGAACAGUAUGUAGGAUGUUGAUAUGGUGUUCUAUAUAAUUGACAAGAUGUGUUCUAAAAGUUUGUAGAGUGUUGCUAGGGUGUAAGGCGGUUGAUAAGUUGUUCUGAACAGUUUGUUAGGUGUUGCUAGGGUGUUCUGAAUGGUAUGUAGGAUGUUGCUAGGGUGUUCUAUGUGGUUGAUAAUGUGUUCUCAAUGUUUGUACGGUGUUGCUAGGGACUAAGUUGGUUGCUAUGUUCUUCAGAAUGGUUUCUAGAGUGUUGCUAGGGUGUGAGGUGGUUGAUAAGGUAUUCUGAACAGUUUGUAGGGUGUUGUUCGGG